rnacentral:lncRNA from 1 species
UUUUGGCUGCACCUGCAGCAUGCAGAAAUUCCCAGGGUAGAGAUCAAACCUGCACCACAGCAGCAACCCAAGUUGAUGCAGUGACCUAGCCAGAUCCUUAAACCCCUAUGACACAAAGGAAUUCUGUAUCUGUUUUGUCUGUGUCCUGUGGGGUGUUUUUGUUUUUGUUUUUUUGUUUGGGGUUUUUUUUAAUGGCCACACCCACAGCAUAUGGAAGUUCCCAAGCCAGGAGUUGAAUCUGAGCCACAGUUGUGCCCUACACCACAGCUGCAGCAAUGCCAGAUCCUUUAACCCACUACACCUGACUGGGGAUCAAAUUCGUGCCUCAGCAGUGACCUGUGUUAUUUUGGUAUCCACAAGAAAGGAAAUGAAUUUCUGAUUUAGUCAUAAAACCUGUGAGCAUUCACCUGCUCAGUCAUCUAUAGAAUAAAUGAUUCACUUCGCACAAUGACAAAGCAGUCUGACACGUUGUAUUCACAUUUAUAAAUCUGAAUUUAGCAUCUGCAAUAAAGAAACUAAAAAUAAAAUCUACUCUAAAGCUCUUCCUCCUUUCCUCUCUCACUUAUUCUACCUAAAUGUGUAUCUUUCCCUUUUAAAACCAAUUUCAAGAGGUUAACAUUGUCAUGUAAUUAUAUUCCAUCUUAUGCAAGGAUGGUCACUGACAAUCUAAACUAAUCCGGGAUUUUGUUAAAUAAAAGGUCCAAAGAGGGUCAUUUAGGUUGAACAGAGUGAUUUUAUCCUUUCAUCAAAUCAAAUGUGAGGGAUUCACUUCUGCUAAAAUUACCUUUAUGGGUCUUUGCCUAUAGUGUGAUGAAGGUCACCGAGUUGAUUAAAGAGUUUAUGGCAAUAAUGGGGUCUUUGGCAGAUGCAAUCUGAAAUGAUCAAAAAUUGAGAGCAAAAAGGGAUUUAAAUGGUUCAAUGGAGAUAAUAUACCUGAAAAAAAAGCCCGGCCCCUGUGCUGGAUGAGUAUUCUUCCAAGCAGAAAAGAUUCUGUGAGAAUAGAGUGACGAUCUUUUCCCUUUGAAACUAGGAGAGAAUGUGAGAAAGAAGUUUUAAAACGAAAGAUGAAAGAUCAAAGUAAAGCAGGGAAGAAUUCUAAGUGUAGAAAUCUAAGUCACUGGAGGAAUCAGUAAGGUCCAUCCAGGGAGUACUUGAGGAAGACAGCCGUGUGUCUGGAACACAAAGGAAAGGACCAGAUCAGCAUCACUCAUCUGUCAUCCUACAAGGCCUUACACUGCUAGUUAUCUAGUCAUGUGUGUAGGUUUUGUUCUCUAAUUAGUCUGUAAGUUCCCUGAGGGCAAGAGUACUUCAUUAAUUUUCUUUGUAUCACUAGCACCAUGCAUAGGGCAAUGCAUUCAGAAUGCUUAAUGUAACACAUAUAAUUCAAUAAAUUAGACUUGGAAGUUUCUUUAUCAUUUGUUAUAGAUGAAUUCCUUGAGGGCAAAAACUCUCUCUUGUUCACCAUUUUAUACUUAGAAUCUGAUGCAUAACAGACUCAUAAUAUUUGUUAUGCUCUGUAGGCAUGCAUGCUUGGACAAUUGAGUUUUUUAAAUGAAUGAAAAGAAAUUGACAAUAUUCAUGGUCAAAUAAUGCACAUCUACUUAUAUAGCAUAUUCUAGCUAUGAAGCACUGUGCUAGUUCAAUCUUUUGAAGAAAACUGCUACUAGAAAUAUCUGCUACUUGAUUUCAUCCCAGAUAACUAGAGACAUCAUCAUUUGCAUAUUUUAAAUGAUUAAAUAUCAAAAACAUUCCCUGUCUAGGGUUGGUCAUGUAAAAAACUAUCUCAAGUAGCUAAAAUAAAUCAACACGGCAGUCUAUAAAAUCAUGACUCCUUUACAGGUAUUUGUAUUUCAAGUAUUCUUUUUUAUCUCUAAGAAGGAAAGCCCUAGAAUAGUAAUGAAAAUUUAGACAGUUCUAGAAACAAUCAAAGGUAGAGAGGAAAAACCAUGUAAUUAGAUACCAUUCAAACACAUGUGCAUGCUCAUGUAUAUGUGUGCAAGCACGCAAAUGCACACACACACACGCAAAACACAACUCCACUCAGAUGAGGUAAACAGCUUUUCAUGAAUCACAAUAGGGUAUUCUCUUCUAAUCACCAUGAUUGUGAUCUCAUCACCAUCCUGAUGAUUUUUCAGUAGACCUGGCAGAAGAUAGUCUCUUGAGGAUGUUCUCUAUGAUUACACAUUGCAGAAAACCAUCUCUCUAAUGCAAUGUGCAUGUAAGAGAGAAACGGCAGCUUGUUGCAUUAAUAAAGACUUACUUCAUACACAAUUAACCUGCUCACCAACCCAAAAUGUUACAAAUCUCAACCCCAGUGCCUAGAGAACCAUGAAAUUAGGUGUACAAAAGACGAAAAAUUCAAAUUCAUAAUUAUAAUAUUUAGGGGAUAUUUUACAUUAAAUAGAAGAGCUUCCAGGGUGCAUUGUGCUUUAAAUAUGUCCUUGCUGAAGUACAAGUAUACUCCUUCAUUCACCCACAACUGUCUGCUCUGAGCAGAGCAGAGCCGAAUGAUGAGAAUUAAACAAUCACCGCAGUUGAAUCCAAAUCAAUAGCUCAGAGAGAACCAACUGCUCUGCGCACUUCAAGAGAGAAAAAAAAGAAAACUUAGAAGAAAGUCUUGUGAAAAGAAAUAGGAGACCCAGAGCUUCUAUUAUAGAGAUUUUUUUUUUUUUUUUUGUCUUUUUGCCAUUUCUUGGGCCGCUCACGCGGCAUAUGGAGGUUCCUAGGCUAGGGGUCGAAUCAGAGCUGUAGCUGCCAGCCCACCCCAGAGCCACAGCAACGCAGGAUCCGAGCCGCGUCUGUGACCUACACCACAGCUCACGGCAACGCCGGAUCGUUAACCCACUGAGCAAGGGCAGGGAUCGAACCCGCAACCUCAUGGUUCCUAGUCAGAUUCGUUAACCACUGAGCCAUGACAGGAACUCCGAUAUUAUAGAGAUUUUAUGAUAUUGUCAAUGUCUUCAGAAAUCAGUGCCAUGACAAUGCUCAUUGCUUCUAAAAACAGAAAUGACAAUUGUUUGGGAUUAUCUUCCAAGUUUCCCAGCCACAUAUUAUGAGCUAAGUUUAGAAUAGUUUAUGGUAAGCACCAUGGCAGUGGCAGUACCAGAAGGAAGUAAGGUAUUAUGAGUAAACACUCUACCAGGAAAAAGGUACACUUAGCGCUGGGUCUUCAUAGAUAUUAUUUUGGUCAAUUCAGCUUAAGAGCAAUUUGGGGGCCAUGCUACUUCCUCAUUUUACAGUGAGAGAGUUGAACCAGAUCAUUUCCAGGAGUCAUUUCCAAAUUUAACAUUAAUUUAUAGGUUACCAGUUAUCUAAGCCAAACAUGUACAGUACACAAAUGUGAGUACAGCUUGAUACACUGGCUCAAGACCUCGAGGAAGGUCUCACCCUGUUUUAGUUUCCAUCUCUAACUCAGCAAAACACAGGGUAAGGAAAACACGAUCUCUAUUUACAUUCUCACAGGGAGUGUUGUUCCUUUACUUGACUUUAAAAAGCAAGCUAUUUAUCUUUUCCAUACACCAGGUCUUUACUUAAGCAUCACCUCCCGAAUGAGUAUUUUCUAGCCAACCUAAAGUUUCAGUCUCCAGACCAACAACUGUAUUUCCUUUCCUCCUUUAUUUAUUUCUCCUUUGCACUUAUCAACCUGUAUUUUAUUUAUUAAGGUUUAUUGUUGAGGAGAAUAAGUUCACUGAGGGCAAGGGUUUUUGUCCUUGUUUUCAAUACUGGAUCCCCAGUGCCUAAAAUAAUGGUUGGCAGCACAGCAGGUAGUCAAUAAAUAGUUGUGGAAUUAAUGAACAAAUGAAUCAGUAUUUUGCUCCCAAGACAAUUGUGAACUAAAUUUCCAGUUAAUACUAAAACUUCACCUCGUCCUCUUUCCAACUAUGCAUCUUCAAUAUUUUACCUGCUAUACAGAUAAUAAAAUAGCUUUUAAAACUCUGAUUUUAAAUCCUGGCGUUAGGAUACUUCUAAUCUGCAACAUAACACACAUUCUCAAGCAUAAUAGAAAUCAGCAAGCACAACACCCAAGCAUCCUUUAUAAGCUACCUAAAAAGUAAAUCAAAGUUAAAAGCUCGGAAAUGUAAAACAUAUGUUAAAAUGCUUCAUAAUAAGCAUUGGUUGAACAUAAACAGAACCUAGACUAAAUAAGGCUAUUAUAGUCUUCUUAUACUGAUACCUCAAAAGCACCAACUACAGUGGGAAAACCCGCAAAACAGAGACAACAGCCAAUGAGAAAUAUUUCAAAGCCAUAACCAUGUUUUAACACUGUAGUCUACUCUGAGAGAUAAAGUGAGCUUAUUGUAGGAUGAAACUGGGGCAGCCAAAUGGUUUCAGAGAUGGUUUCAAAAUUUCCCAAGUAAGAAGGAGGGAAGGUUAUCUAAAGGACAAUGGGAGGAUGAAAGCUGGAUAUGUAUAAGAAAGUUUUGGAAUGGUAACUGGAAAAUUUACUAAGGGGUUAAGGAGGUGAAUGACAAAAACUUUACUGCCACGGCAAGAGCUUUGCAAUGUACCAACUCAGAGUGAUUUCACUACUCCAACACAUCCAACCUUCAGGGGUCUUUAUUUCUAAUCAAUCCAUUUAUCUCACAAGCAUGCAGCAUAAAUUAAGGAAAACAAAUUACUAAUCUGUUUAUAUUGACAAAGUCAAAAUUCUAAGAGUUCAUUUAUAAAAUUCACAGUAUGUAAUAAUAUGGAAGAUAUACACCAGUUUUACUUUAAUAGACAAUAGAGAUAAAUGCAUACUCUCACACCUUAUUUCUGCAUAUAGAGAGGAAAUCUUCUAAAUGAUAAAUGAGAAUG